UACGUAGGGUGCGAGCGUUAAUCGGAAUUACUGGGCGUAAAGCGUGCGCAGGCGGUUUUGUAAGCCAGAUGUGAAAGCCCCGGGCUUAACCUGGGAAUGGCAUUUGGGACUGCAAGGCUUGAGUGCGGCAGAGGAGACUGGAAUUCCUGGUGUAGCAGUGAAAUGCGUAGAUAUCAGGAGGAAUACCGAUGGCGAAGGCAGGUCUCUGGGCUGACACUGACGCUCAUGCACGAAAGCGUAGGGAGCAAACAGG
rnacentral:rRNA from 1 species